UUGGGAUGAUGGUCAGAUGAUGUCUGUCCU
rnacentral:piRNA from 2 species